AAAGUGACGGUACCUGCAGAAGAAGUACCGGCUAACUACGUGCCAGCAGCCGCGGUAAUACGUAGGGUACGAGCGUUGUCCGGAAUUAUUGGGCGUAAAGAGCUCGUAGGUGGUUGGUCACGUCUGCUGUGGAAACGCAACGCUUAACGUUGCGCGUGCAGUGGGUACGGGCUGACUAGAGUGCAGUAGGGGAGUCUGGAAUUCCUGGUGUAGCGGUGAAAUGCGCAGAUAUCAGGAGGAACACCGGUGGCGAAGGCGGGACUCUGGGCUGUAACUGACACUGAGGAGCGAAAGCAUGGGGAGCGAACAGGAUUAGAUACCCUGGUAGUCCAUGCCGUAAACGUUGGGCACU
rnacentral:rRNA from 1 species